AUUGAACGCUGGCGGCAGGCCUAACACAUGCAAGUCGAGCGGAUGAAGGGAGCUUGCUCCUGGAUUCAGCGGCGGACGGGUGAGUAAUGCCUAGGAAUCUGCCUGGUAGUGGGGGAUAACGUCCGGAAACGGGCGCUAAUACCGCAUACGUCCUGAGGGAGAAAGUGGGGGAUCUUCGGACCUCACGCUAUCAGAUGAGCCUAGGUCGGAUUAGCUAGUUGGUGGGGUAAAGGCCUACCAAGGCGACGAUCCGUAACUGGUCUGAGAGGAUGAUCAGUCACAAUGGAAAUGAGAAAAGGUCCAGAAUCCGAAGGGAGGCAGCAGUGGGGAAUAUUGGACAAUGGGCGAAAGCCUGAUCCAGCCAUGCCGCGUGUGUGAAGAAGGGCUUCGGAUUGUAAAGCACUUUAAGUUGGGAGGAAGGGCAGUAAGUUAAUACCUUGCUGUUUUGACGUUACCAACAGAAUAAGCACCGGCUAACUUCGUG
rnacentral:rRNA from 1 species